GACGAACGCUGGCGGCGUGCUUAACACAUGCAAGUCGAACGCUGAAGACCUGGCUUUUGUUGGGUUGGAUGAGUGGCGGACGGGUGAGUAACACGUGAGUAACCUGCCCUCUCCUUUGGGAUAACGCCCGGAAACGGGUGCUAAUACUGGAUAUUCACUGAUCUUCGCAUGGGGGUUGGUGGAAAGGUUUGUUCUGGUGGGGGAUGGGCUCGCGGCCUAUCAGCUUGUUGGUGGGGUGAUGGCCUACCAAGGCUUUGACGGGUAGCCGGCCUGAGAGGGUGACCGGUCACAUUGGGACUGAGAUACGGCCCAGACUCCUACGGGAGGCAGCAGUGGGGAAUAUUGCACAAUGGGCGAAAGCCUGAUGCAGCGACGCCGCGUGAGGGAUGGAGGCCUUCGGGUUGUAAACCUCUUUCGCUCAUGGUCAAGCCGCAACUGUGGGUUGUGGUGAGGGUAGUGGGUAAAGAAGCGCCGGCUAACUACGUG
rnacentral:rRNA from 1 species